CAAACCCUGAUCCAGCCAUGCCGCGUGUGUGAAGAAGGCCUUCGGGUUGUAAAGCACUUUCAGUAGGGAGGAAGGCUUACCGUUAAUAGCGGUGAGUACUUGACGUUACCUACAGAAGAAGCACCGGCUAAUUUCGUGCCAGCAGCCGCGGUAAUACGAAAGGUGCGAGCGUUAAUCGGAAUUACUGGGCGUAAAGCGCGCGUAGGCGG
rnacentral:rRNA from 1 species